AGUGAACGCUGGCGGUAGGCCUAACACAUGCAAGUCGAACGGCAGCACAGAGGAGCUUGCUCCUUGGGUGGCGAGUGGCGGACGGGUGAGGAAUACAUCGGAAUCUACUCUGUCGUGGGGGAUAACGUAGGGAAACUUACGCUAAUACCGCAUACGACCUACGGGUGAAAGCAGGGGAUCUUCGGACCUUGCGCGAGUGAAUGAGACGAUGUCGGAUUAGAUUGUUGGCGGGGUAAAGGCCCACCAAGGCGACGAUCCGUAGCUGGUCCGAGAGGAUGAUCAGCCACACUGGAACUGAGACACGGUCCAGACUCCUACGGGAGGCAGCAGUGGGGAAUAUUGGACAAUGGGCGCAAGCCUGAUCCAGCCAUACCGCGUGGGUGAAGAAGGCCUUCGGGUUGUAAAGCCCUCUUGUUGGGAAAGAAAUCCAUCUGGUUAAUACCCGGGUGGGAUGACGGUACCCAAAGAAUAAGCACCGGCUAACUUCGUGCCAGCCGCCGCCGUAA
rnacentral:rRNA from 1 species